rnacentral:rRNA from 1 species
GUGAAAUUGUUGAAAGGGAAACGCUUGGAGUCAGUCAUGUCGUCCAGGGAUCAACCUUGCUUUUGCUUGGUGCACUUUCUGGUUUGACGGGUCAGCAUCAAUUUUGACCAUUGGAAAAAGGCUAAGGGAAUGUGGCAUCUUUGGAUGUGUUAUAGCCCUUGGUCGCAUACAAUGGUUGGGAUUGAGGAACUCAGCACGCCGAAAGGCCGGGUUUUAAACCACGUUCGUGCUUAGGAUGCUGGCAAUAUGGCUUUAAUCGACCCGUCUUGAAACACGGACCAAGGAGUCUAACAUGCCUGCGAGUGUUUGGGUGGAAAACCCGAGCGCGUAAUGAAAGUGAAAAGUUGAGAUCCCUGUCGUGGGGAGCAUCGACGCCCGGACCAGACCUUUUGUGACGGUUCCGCGGUAGAGCAUGUAUGUUGGGACCCGAAAGAUGGUGAACUAUGCCUGAAUAGGGUGAAUCCAGAGGAAACUCUGGUGGAGGCUCGUAGCGAUUCUGACGUGCAAAUCGAUCGUCAAAUUUGGGUAUAGGGGCGAGAGACUAAUCGAGCCAUCUAGUAGCUGGUUCCUGCCGAAGUUUCCCUCAGGAUAGCAGAAACUCAUAUCAGAUUUAUGUGGUAAAGCGAAUGAUUAGAGGCCUUGGGGUUGAAACAACCUUAACCUAUUCUCAAACUUUAAAUAUGUAAGAACAAGCCGUCUCUUGAUUGGACCGCUUG